AACGAACGCUGGCGGCGCGCCUAAUACAUGCAAGUCGAGCGAGAAGACGUAGCAAUACGUUUGUAAAGCGGCGAACGGGUGAGGAAUACAUGGGUAACCUACCCUCGAGUGGGGAAUAACUAGCCGAAAGGUUAGCUAAUACCGCGUACGCUCCUUGGACUUCGGUUCAGGGAGGAAAGCGAUACCGUGGGUAUCGCGCUCUUGGAUGGGCUCAUGUCCUAUCAGCUUGUUGGUGAGGAACGGCUCACCAAGGCUUCGACGGGUAGCUGGUCUGAGAGGACAAUCAGCCACACUGGCACUGCGACACGGGCCAGACUCCUACGGGAGGCAGCAGUAAGGAAUAUUGCGCAAUGGGCGAAAGCCUGACGCAGCGACGCCGCGUGGGGGAUGAAGGUCUUCGGAUUGUAAACCCCUUUCGGGAGGGAAGAUGGAACGAGCAAUCGUUCGGACGGUACCUCCAGAAGCAGCCACGGCUAACUUCGUGCCAGCAGCCGCCGU
rnacentral:rRNA from 1 species